UUCGCGUCUUCCAGACCUUCCUAUCUAGGGUCAUGUCCUCGGUGAGCUGUAACUGUUCCAUGUCCCGCCUAAUCACCUCACCCCAGUACUUCUUCGGCCUACCCCUACCCCGCCUAAAACCAUCCAACGCUAGCCUCUCACACCUACGGACCGGGGCAUCCAUGCCCCUUCUCUUCACGUGUCCGAACCGUCUCAAUCGUGCUUCCCACAUCUUGCACUCCACUGAAGUCACACCAAC
rnacentral:lncRNA from 1 species